rnacentral:rRNA from 1 species
UACGGUGGGGGCAAGCGUUGUUCGGAAUUACUGGGCGUAAAGGGCGCGUAGGCGGCCUGCUAAGUCGGAUGUGAAAUCCCUCGGCUCAACCGAGGAACUGCAUCCGAUACUGGCGGGCUUGAAUCCGGGAGAGGGAUGUGGAAUUCCAGGUGUAGCGGUGAAAUGCGCAGAUAUCAGGAGGAACACCGAUUGCGAAGGCAGCUCGCUGGAACGUUACUGACGCUGAGACGCGAAAGCGAGGGGAGCAAACAGG